GGGCCCGUUUGAUCAUGGCUCAGAUUGAACGCUGGCGGCAUGCUUUACACAUGCAAGUCGAACGGGGUGGAGGGGCAACUCUUCAUUCAGUGGCGGACGGGUGAGUAAUGCAUCGGAACGUAUCCUGUAGUGGGGGACAACCCAGCGAAAGCUGGGCUAAUACCGCAUAUGCUCUGUGGAGGAAAGCAGGGGACCUGAGAGGGCCUUGUGCUAUGGGAGCGGCCGAUGUCCGAUUAGCUAGUUGGUGGGGUAAAGGCCUACCAAGGCGACGAUCGGUAGCUGGUCUGAGAGGAUGAUCAGCCACACUGGGACUGAGACACGGCCCAGACUCCUACGGGAGGCAGCAGUGGGGAAUUUUGGACAAUGGGGGCAACCCUGAUCCAGCCAUGCCGCGUGCGGGAAGAAGGCCUUCGGGUUGUAAACCGCUUUUGGUCGGGAAGAAAAGGCGCCGGAUAAUACCUGGCGCUGUUGACGGUACCGGCAGAAUAAGCACCGGCUAACUACGUGCCAGCAGCCGCGGUAAUACGUAGGGUGCGAGCGUUAAUCGGAAUUACUGGGCGUAAAGCGUGCGCAGGCGGUUCGUUGUGUCUGAUGUGAAAGCCCCGGGCUCAACCUGGGAAUGGCAUUGGAAACUGGCGAGCUAGAGUGUGGCAGAGGGGGGUGGAAUUCCGCGUGUAGCAGUGAAAUGCGUAUAGAUGCGGAGGAACACCGAUGGCGAAGGCAGCCCCCUGGGGCUGACACUGACGCUCAGGCAC
rnacentral:rRNA from 1 species